rnacentral:rRNA from 1 species
UGGCGGCAGGCCUAACACAUGCAAGUCGAGCGCUCGUAGCAAUACGGGAGCGGCAGACGGGAGAGUAACACGUGGGAACGUACCCUUCGGUUCGGAAUAACCCAGGGAAACUUGGGCUAAUACCGGAUACGUCCGUAAGGAGAAAGAUUUAUCGCCGGAGGAUCGGCCCGCGCCCGAUUAGCUAGUUGGUGAGGUAAUGGCUCACCAAGGCGACGAUCGGUAGCUGGUCUGAGAGGAUGAUCAGCCUCACUGGGACUGAGACACGGCCCAGACUCCUACGGGAGGCAGCAGUGGGGAAUAUUGGACAAUGGGCGCAAGCCUGAUCCAGCCAUGCCGCGUGGGUGAUGAAGGCCUUAGGGUUGUAAAGCCCUUUCGGCGGGGAAGAUAAUGACGGUACCCGCAGAAGAAGCCCCGGCUAACUUCGUGCCAGCAGCCGCGGUAAUACGAAGGGGGCUAGCGUUGCUCGGAAUCACUGGGCGUAAAGCGCACGUAGGCGGGUUCUUAAGUCAGAGGUGAAAUCCUGGAGCUCAACUCCA